rnacentral:rRNA from 1 species
GACGAAUGCUGGCGGCGUGCUUAACACAUGCAAGUCGAACGGAAAGGCCCUGCUUUUGUGGGGUGCUCGAGUGGCGAACGGGUGAGUAACACGUGAGUAACCUGCCCUUGACUUUGGGAUAACUUCAGGAAACUGGGGCUAAUACCGGAUAGGAGCUCCUGCUGCAUGGUGGGGGUUGGAAAGUUUCGGCGGUUGGGGAUGGACUCGCGGCUUAUCAGCUUGUUGGUGGGGUAGUGGCUUACCAAGGCUUUGACGGGUAGCCGGCCUGAGAGGGUGACCGGCCACAUUGGGACUGAGAUACGGCCCAGAAUCCUACGGGAGGCAGCAGUGGGGAAUAUUGCACAAUGGGCGGAAGCCUGAUGCAGCAACGCCGCGUGCGGGAUGACGGCCUUCGGGUUGUAAACCGCUUUCGCCUGUGACGAAGCGUGAGUGACGGUAAUGGGUAAAGAAGCACCGGCUAACUACGUG